GACGAACGCUGGCGGCGUGCUUAACACAUGCAAGUCGAGCGGUAAGGCCCUUUCGGGGGUACACGAGCGGCGAACGGGUGAGUAACACGUGGGUGACCUGCCCUCAGCUCUGGGAUAAGCCUGGGAAACCGGGUCUAAUACUGGAUAUGACUCCAUGACGCAUGUUGUGGGGUGGAAAGCCUUGUGCGGCUGAGGAUGGGGCCCGCGGCCUAUCAGCUUGUUGGUGGGGUGAGGCCUACCAAGGCGACGACGGGUAGCCGGCCUGAGAGGGCGACCGGCCACACUGGGACUGAGACACGGCCCAGACUCCUACGGGAGGCAGCAGUGGGGAAUCUUGCGCAAUGGGCGAAAGCCUGACGCAGCGACGCCGCGUGAGGGAUGACGGCC
rnacentral:rRNA from 1 species